UACGUAGGGUGCAAGCGUUAAUCGGAAUUACUGGGCGUAAAGCGUGCGCAGGCGGUGAUGUAAGACAGGUGUGAAAUCCCCGGGCUCAACCUGGGAACUGCAUCUGUGACUGCAUCGCUGGAGUGCGGCAGAGGGGGAUGGAAUUCCGCGUGUAGCAGUGAAAUGCGUAGAUAUGCGGAGGGAACACCGAUGGCGAAGGCAAUCCCCUGGGCCUGCACUGACGCUCAUGCACGAAAGCGUGGGGAGCAAACAGG
rnacentral:rRNA from 1 species